rnacentral:rRNA from 2 species
GGGGGGCUGCUUACACAUGCAGUCGAACGGCAGCGGGGGUAGCUUGCUACCUGCCGGCGAGUGGCGAACGGGUGAGUAAUACAUCGGAACGUGCCCUGUAGUGGGGGAUAACUAGUCGAAAGACUAGCUAAUACCGCAUACGACCUGAGGGUGAAAGUGGGGGACCGCAAGGCCUCAUGCUAUAGGAGCGGCCGAUGUCUGAUUAGCUAGUUGGUGGGGUAAAGGCCCACCAAGGCGACGAUCAGUAGCUGGUCUGAGAGGACGAUCAGCCACACUGGGACUGAGACACGGCCCAGRCUCCUACGGGAGGCAGCAGUGGGGAAUUUUGGACAAUGGGGGCAACCCUGAUCCAGCAAUGCCGCGUGUGUGAAGAAGGCCUUCGGGUUGUAAAGCACUUUUGUCCGGAAAGAAAUCGCACUGGUUAAUACCUGGUGUGGAUGACGGUACCGGAAGAAUAAGGACCGGCUAACUACGUGCCAGCAGCCGCGGUAAUACGUAGGGUCCAAGCGUUAAUCGGAAUUACUGGGCGUAAAGCGUGCGCAGGCGGUUGUGCAAGACCGAUGUGAAAUCCCCGGGCUUAACCUGGGAAUUGCAUUGGUGACUGCACGGCUAGAGUGUGUCAGAGGGAGGUAGAAUUCCACGUGUAGCAGUGAAAUGCGUAGAGAUGUGGAGGAAUACCGAUGGCGAAGGCAGCCUCCUGGGAUAACACUGACGCUCAUGCACGAAAGCGUGGGGAGCAAACAGGAUUAGAUACCCUGGUAGUCCACGCCCUAAACGAUGUCAACUAGUUGUUGGGGAUUCAUUUCCUUAGUAACGUAGCUAACGCGUGAAGUUGACCGCCUGGGGAGUACGGUCGCAAGAUUAAAACUCAAAGGAAUUGACGGGGACCCGCACAAGCGGUGGAUGAUGUGGAUUAAUUCGAUGCAACGCGAAAAACCUUACCUACCCUUGACAUGCCACUAACGAAGCAGAGAUGCAUUAGGUGCUCGAAAGAGAAAGUGGACACAGGUGCUGCAUGGCUGUCGUCAGCUCGUGUCGUGAGAUGUUGGGUUAAGUCCCGCAACGAGCGCAACCCUUGUCUCUAGUUGCUACGAAAGGGCACUCUAGAGAAGACUGCCGGUGACAAACCGGGAGGAARGUKGGGAUGACGUCAAGUCCUCAUGGCCCUUAUGGGUAGGGCUUCACACGUCAUACAAUGGUGCAUACAGAGGGUUGCCAAGCCGCGAGGUGGAGCUAAUCCCAGAAAAUGCAUCGUAGUCCGGAUCGUAGUCUGCAACUCGACUACGUGAAGCUGGAAUCGCUAGUAAUCGCGGAUCAGCAUGCCGCGGUGAAUACGUUCCCGGGUCUUGUACACACCGCCCGUCACACCAUGGGAGUGGGCUUUACCAGAAGUAGUUAGCCUAACCGUAGGGGGGGGCCAGAAUAACCCCGCCCGG